UACGGAGGGUGCAAGCGUUAUCCGGAUUUACUGGGUUUAAAGGGUGUGUAGGCGGGCUUUUAAGUCUGGGGUGAAAUCUCCGAGCUCAACUCGGAAACUGCCUUGGAUACUAUUAGUCUUGAAUUAUGUUGAGGUUGGCGGAAUAUAACAUGUAGCGGUGAAAUGCAUAGAUAUGUUAUAGAACACCGAUUGCGAAGGCAGCUAACUAAGCAUAUAUUGACGCUGAGGCACGAAAGCGUGGGGAGUCAAACAGG
rnacentral:rRNA from 1 species